rnacentral:tRNA from 1 species
AGCAGCGUAGCUCAGUGGAAAGAGCCCGGGCUUGGGAGUCAGAGGUCAUGGGUUCAAAUCCCAGCUCUGCCA